UGGGGAGUAUUGCGUCAAUGGGGCAACCGGUAGCACGCAGCAACGCCGCGUGAAGGAUGAAGGUUUUCGGAUUGUAAACUUCUUUUAUUAAGGACGAAAUUUGACGGUACUUAAUGAAUAAGCUCCGGCUAACUACGUGCCAGCAGCCGCGGUAAUACGUAGGGAGCAAGCGUUGUCCGGAUUUACUGGGUGUAAAGGGUGCGUAGGCGGCUUUGCAAGUCAGAUGUGAAAUCUAUGGGCUCAACCCAUAAACUGCAUUUGAAGCUGUAGAGCUUGAGUGAAGUAGAGGCAGGCGGAAUUCCCCGUGUAGCGGUGAAAUGCGUAGAGAUGGGGAGGAACACCAGUGGCGAAGGCGGCCUGCUGGGCUUUAACUGACGCUGAGGCACGAAAGCGUGGGUAGCAAACAGGAUUAGAUACCC
rnacentral:rRNA from 1 species